GAUGAACGCUGGCGGCGUGCCUAAUACAUGCAAGUCGAGCGAACAGACGAUAAGCUUGCUCCUCUGACGUUAGCGGCGGACGGGUGAGUAACACGUGGAUAACCUACCUCUAAGACUGGGGUAACUUCGGGAAACCGGAUCUAAUACCGGAUAAUAUAUUCAACCGCAUGGUUCAAUAGUGCAUGACGGUUUUGCUGUCACUUAUAGAUGGAUCCGCGCCGGAUUAGCUAGUUGGUAAGGUAACGGCCUACCAAGGCGACGAUGCGUAGCCGACCUGAGAGGGUGAUCGGCCACACUGGAACUGAGACACGGUCCAGACUCCUACGGGAGGCAGCAGUAGGGAAUCUUCGGCAAUGGGCGAAAGCCUGACGGAGCCAUGCCGCGUGAGUGAUGAAGGCCUUCGGAUCGUAAAGCUCUGUUGUUAGGGAAGAACAAAUGUGUAAUAAACUCUGGACGUCUUGACGGUACCUAAUCAGUAAGCCACGGCUAACUACGUG
rnacentral:rRNA from 1 species